rnacentral:rRNA from 1 species
AUUGAACGCUGGCGGCAGGCCUAACACAUGCAAGUCGAACGAUUGGCGGACGGGUGAGUAUUGCCUGGGAAACUGCCCGUUGGAGGGGGAUAACUACUGGAAACGUUAGCUAAUACCGCAUACCAUCGGAUGUCCCCAGAUGGGAUUAGCUAGUAGGUGGGGUAACGGCUCACCUAGGCGACGAGCCCUAGCUGGUCUGAGAGGAUGACCAGCCACACUGGAACUGAGACACGGUCCAGACUCCUACGGGAGGCAGCAGUGGGGAAUAUUGCACAAUGGGCGCAAGCCUGAUGCAGCCAUGCCGCGUGUAUGAAGAAGGCCUUCGGGUUGUAAAGUACUUUCAGCGAGGAGGCGUUACUCGCAGAAGAAGCACCGGCUAACUCCGUGCCAGCAGCCGCGGUAAUUC